AUUGAACGCUGGCGGCAGGCCUAACACAUGCAAGUCGAACGAGUGGCGGACGGGUGAGUAAUGUCUGGGAAACUGCCCGAUGGAGGGGGAUAACUACUGGAAACGGUAGCUAAUACCGCAUACCAUCGGAUGUGCCCAGAUGGGAUUAGCGUGUAGGUGAGGUAACGGCUCACCUAGGCGACGCUCCCUAGCUGGGAUGAGAGGAUGACCAGCCACACGGGAACUGAGACACGGUCCCGGAUCCUAAGGGAGGCAGCAGUGGGGAAUAUGGCACAAUGGGCGCAAGCCUGAUGCAGCGAUGCCGCGUGUAUGAAGAAGGCCUUCGGGUUGUAAAGUACUUUCAGCGGGGAGGCGUUACCCGAAGAAGAAGCACCGGCUAACUCCGUGGCAGCAGCCGCGGUAAUAC
rnacentral:rRNA from 1 species